AGAACGAACGCUGGCGGCAUGCCUAAUACAUGCAAGUCGAACGAACUCUUCGGAGUUAGUGGCGCACGGGUGCGUAACGCGUGGGAAUCUGCCCCUUGGUUCGGAAUAACAGUUGGAAACGACUGCUAAUACCGGAUGAUGACGAAAGUCCAAAGAUUUAUCGCCAAGGGAUGAGCCCGCGUAGGAUUAGCUAGUUGGUGAGGUAAAGGCUCACCAAGGCAACGAUCCUUAGCUGGUCUGAGAGGAUGAUCAGCCACACUGGGACUGAGACACGGCCCAGACUCCUACGGGAGCAGCAGUAGGGAAUAUUGGACAAGUGGGACGAAAGCCUGAUCCAGCAAUGCCGCGUGAGUGAUGAAGGCUUAGGUGUAAAGCUCUUUACCGAGAUGAUAAUGACUAGUAUCGGAAGAACGUAACGCCCGGACUAACUCCGAGCCAGCACGCCGC
rnacentral:rRNA from 1 species